UCCCUGGUGGUCCAGUGGUUAUGACUCUGUGCUUCCAAUGCAGGGGGCAUGGGUUCAAUCCCUGGUCAGGAAA
rfam:TPA: Bos taurus chromosome 16, whole genome shotgun sequence.